AAAAUAAAAAAAAUAAAAAAUUUAAAAAAUAAAUAAAUAAAAAUAAAUAAAAAUUUUAUGAAUUUUCUUAUGGCAGCGAUAGGCCACCAUACACUACCAUCCUCGUGUUCACUACUGUGUUUUGACACCUUUAGAUUACGUAAUGUGAGAUGGACGACAUACUUCGUGUCAGCUGUACUGAUGUGGACAGUUAUGGUCAAGAAGAUUCCUUCAAUUCGCUCUCUGUGGUAUUCAUGUCUGGAUUAUGCGAUGAAAAUGUUUGGAUAUAUCACGGCGUUCGAAAAGCUUAGUUUGAAAUUCUAGGUUGAAAGGACAUCAGACAUUGGAAAUUUAUUGUGUAGUUUGAUAGAAUUCGUAUGAAACCCACUCGUCUCUAAAUCAUUUAGAAAUCUUUGUACAUUACUACUCCGAGGUAGAUAUGAAACCUCCUUGGACCUCAAUGAUAAGAAUGUCUAUUAGCAGUUAAAAUAAGGCAUCCGGAUAGGAUUUUAUGCUGAUUUGGUUAGAAACAACUCUUAAAACUGUAUUAUUACGCAUUACCUGUACAAUGUCCGUUUUUUGACUGCUGGCCUACAAUUUAUGAUAUCGCGUAAUUAUGGCCUCACACCUGCAUAUAUAACAAUUCUCUGCAUUACGUAAGACGUCGUCUCUGCGGAGUAUUAUCGGCGCAUCUCCAGCAAAAGCCAGCUUGUUUACACGAAGAAAAAAGUCAUAGCAAGAUUUGCAAAUUGGAUAAAACAACCUCGGCUUUCCUCAGCUUUGAUAUUAUUCUCGAUGCCUAAUACACUACGCAUUAAUUAUUAAAUAUAGUUUGUUUUACACAAUUUCGAUAUCUUCGUUUUUGAGGUAUUUCAGUUUGUAAAUCAUGACGUUCCACACAUUCGUAAAUCCAAAAAAAUUCAGGUCAAAAGUAAAUAUGUAAUCACGAGUAUUUGAAACAGUAAAGUUGGAAAAAUAUAAUAAUUUCGGUCGUGAAGAUUAUUAACCUAGCUUUCAAUUACAUAAUUUUCUCUACAUAUCAAAAUAACAUAAAAUAUUUCAAAAACAUAAGAUAUCAAAAAUGUGUGAAGUUACUUAUUUGCAGUUCGAAGAGUUAUUUCUAACUAGAUACACUGUGCUAAAAUUUGUCGUGUUAAGAAUCGUACGUGAGGCAUGACUAUAGUAUUAAUUAAGACGUGGUAUUAUAGAUUCCUAGAGUUUGAAAAACAAUCCAGUAAAAGACUUUCCAGAACUUAUAGAAAUAGAGAAUUAUAUGUAUUGCAGAUUAUGCUGGACAAAAAAUAGAUUUUCGCCAAAUAAUAACGUACUCAAAAGUGUGCUUGCUUGAAUCGGCUUUUACAUGCUCGAGCAUAUGUGGAGUGUAUUGAUCAGCUAUACUCAAAGCACAAACCACACACAUGGAACACCUGUUCUGAUAUAUAGGCCCAGAUUUCCUGACCUAGGCCAGGCCAAAGUUCGUUUACACUACAAAAAUCUAGUCCAAAGGUAGGCCUAGGCCAGGCUUAGGCUCGUAGUGUAAACAUGGCUAAAGUUUGGUUAACUUGACUUCUAUAAAAAGAAACUUUGAAAAUUAAAAAAUGGAUUUAACAGGAUAGAAAUACCAAUGAAAAGAAUUAAGAAAUAACUUCGGAUAAAUAAAUACAGAUAAUUGAGACAAUCGGCAAGAUAAAUAUAAGGAUAUUUUAGGGUUGAAAAGGAUGGUUAAUGUAUGGAACAGGG